rnacentral:misc_RNA from 1 species
GGAUAUUUUGUUCCGCUGGUACCGCCUGUGGUUUUUGUUUUCCAAAAGAUUCUUAUUUAUUUAUAUUGAAUAGAUCGUCGUGUGCCGUCCCAUCAGCUGCUGUCUCACAGUUUGCGGCUGUGUAAUUGCCACCAUGAGCCUCUUGGCUCUUAGCCGCCGUGACUGGAUUACGACCACCGCCGUCGUUUCUUCGCUCUCCGGUGAGCUCAGACAGCCUGGGAUUCUACCUUUCCGAACUCUCCACCGUACACUGCCGGCGUUCCGGAUUCCAUCUUUCUCCUCUACCCGUGUUUCGCCUCCUCAAGCUGUUUCCACCGAUGCUUUGCAUGAUGCCGGCGCGACGGCGGCUGUCCUCGUCGGCGCCUACUCGCUUGUUCGCGGAUUCGACACUCUCGCCCGGCGGAACUUGAUUCAACAGGUUCGUCGUCUUGAAUUCAUU